UCCGUUUUGUCAACGGCAGUCUCACAUGAGUGCUCAGCAUUACCUGGUGGCAACAUGUGAUGGGGGUUGCGCUCGUUGCGGCACUUAAGCCAACACCUCACGGCACGAGCUGACGACAGCCAUGCAACACCUGCACGAGUACCCGACUUUACGGGUUGGCCACCCUUUCAGGCGCCUACUUCUCGCAUGUCAAGCCUGGGUAAGGUUCUUCGCUUUGCUUCGAAUUAAGCAACGCGCUCCGCCGCUUGUGCGGGCCCCCGUCAAUUCCUUUGAGUUUCAGCCUUGCGGCCGUACUCCCCAGGCGGGGCACUUAAUGCGUUAGCGCCGGCACCCAGGGGGUCGCUCCCCCAGGCACCUAGUGCCCAUCGUUUACGGCGUGGACUAC
rnacentral:misc_RNA from 1 species